CAGCACCUCAAGUGGUCAGGAUGAUUAUUGGGCCUAAAGCAUCCGUAGCCGGCGCUGUAAGUUUUCGGUUAAAUCUGUACGCUCAACGUACAGGCUGCCGGGAAUACUGCAGCGCUAGGGAGUGGGAGAGGUAGACGGUACUCGGUAGGAAGGGGUAAAAUCCUUUGAUCUAUUGAUGACCACCUGUGGCGAAGGCGGUCUACCAGAACACGUCCGACGGUGAGGGAUGAAAGCCGGGGGAGCAAACCGGAUUAGAUACCCGAGUAGUCC
rnacentral:rRNA from 1 species